CCUACGGGAGGCAGCAGUGGGGAAUUUUGGACAAUGGGCGCAAGCCUGAUCCAGCAAUGCCGCGUGAGUGAAGAAGGCCUUCGGGUUGUAAAGCUCUUUUGUCAGGGAAGAAACGGUGCUUUCUAAUACAGAGCGCUAAUGACGGUACCUGAAGAAUAAGCACCGGCUAACUACGUGCCAGCAGCCGCGGUAAUACGUAGGGUGCAAGCGUUAAUCGGAAUUACUGGGCGUAAAGCGUGCGCAGGCGGUUUUGUAAGUUUGUCGUGAAAUCCCCGGGCUCAACCUGGGAAUGGCGAUGAAGACUGCAAGGCUAGAGUUUGGCAGAGGGGGGUAGAAUUCCACGUGUAGCAGUGAAAUGCGUAGAUAUGUGGAGGAACACCGAUGGCGAAGGCAGCCCCCUGGGUCAAAACUGACGCUCAUGCACGAAAGCGUGGGGAGCAAACAGGAUUAGAUACCCUGGUAGUCCACGCCCUAAACGAUGUCUACUAGUUGUCGGGUCUUAAUUGACUUGGUAACGCAGCUAACGCGUGAAGUAGACCGCCUGGGGAGUACGGUCGCAAGAUUAAAACUCAAAUGAAUUGACGG
rnacentral:rRNA from 1 species